UUUAAUUGUAAAUCACACAUACAGAAAGCUACACAGUAUCAAAAUAAUAGACAUGAUGUCCUAAUGUCUAUAAAUACCAAUACCACUCACAAAUGAACACACAUGAAGAAGAAAAACAAAGCACACUAUGACCAUUGUAUUAAAAAAUUUCCUCUCACAAACUCUGUAAAUUCAAAGACAUCUCUAUACAUUCAAAGACUUCAGGAUAAAGUAAGCUCUUUUCAAUCUUCUUGUUUGUAAUUUUCUUUUACCUUAUUUAUUUUCAGGCAAGACCUAACAAAGGAAACACCAAGUAAACAAUUAAUUUAUUCAAAAGAAAUUAUCUUUUCUAUUUUUAUAUAUAACACUCUUAGCCUCGUUAUUCUGAAUUCCAUGAUGAAAAAGAUAAAGUAAUCCUCUGAGUUAAGCUUGCUAUUUUUGUAUCCUAAUUUUGGGAGUUUGUUUAAACCUUUUUAAACAUGACGAAAAUAUUUUUAACUAUAGUCUUAAGCCUUUUUUUUAGAAGAUCAAGAAAAAAAGUUAAGAGAGAGUUUAAAAAAAUGAAGGAAUUAAUUGUUGAAUGGUAAAAUACUCUAAGACCAUUACAAACAUAUUGUUCUUAAAUUCUAAUAUCUUAUGCUAUUAGACAAUUAUAUUUCAUCUACUUUGCUUUGUUGUUCAGUAGAAAGUUUUAAAGAUUUUAUUAAUAUUUGUUUAGAAAAUUGAAAAAUUGAUAGAUUAACUGUUAUCGAAAAUCACAUGUUAUCCGUACUAGACAGAAAUAUAAGUAACUCCUCUUUAUAGAUUAAAAAGCAAAUCAUCGAGCUUUCUACCUUUUAGUGUCGGAGGUUUUUGAUAAAAUAUCCUAAAGAUUGUAAGAGAAAACAAAGAGACAUAAACAUUAAGAUAAAAUAAUAGUAAUACAAAGAUUCCUUUUUUAAGAGAGAAGAUUUUCUAAAAACUUCUUUCUAAUUGAUUUUCUAAAAAUUUUAAUUCACCUCUCUCCGCCCACACUUAAUUGAGGGGGGUAUGUGUGUACUACUUGAUAAUGUAGCAACACAAAAUUGUUAAGUUUUACUGAAUAAUCAAAUUUCAUGAAAUAAAAUGCCAUAAAAUAAUUUCUCGAAAUUUCAAACUAAAGUUAAUUUGGUUUUCUAUUUUUAAAAAUGAUCUUUCAGAAUGACAAAUCAAAUGCAUUUUUAAAAAUCUUAUAAUUAAAACUUGAAAAUGAAAUCAAAAUUGAAAAUUGAAACAUAAAUAAAUGGUCAAUUUAAAAACUUAUUUGAACUAUACCUCUUUCUUAACGUGAUGCGCAAAUAAUACAAAACUUGAGUUCGAAGAUCUCAACUCCAUACUUUUUAAUGCAAAGUUUUAGAAUAUAAGGAGUUGUUCUCUUCGUAUUUCAGUUUUGUAGUUUUGAGUUUUGAGUGGUUGUUUUGAAAUUAUUGAAAACCCGUUCUUUUUGUCAUUCUGGAAAACAGUUUUUGGAAACAUAGAACUGAAAAAUGAGCUUACUUUAAAAUUUUGAGAAUAUUUUUUAUAAUAUUUUAUUCAAGAAAUUUGAUAAUUCAAUAAAUUUUAUCAAAUCCUCGCAUAAUAUGCUGUAAAAUGUAAAUGCCUAAAGCCUUUGAUUCGAAAUAAUGUUCCCAAGUGUAUCUCAUAAGAACUUUUAGCAACAAAUGAAUAAUUCACAAAAACUACCAUGCAUACUGAAAAUAAGGAGAAAAAUAGAAUAAAGUCUAAAUCCAAUGGACAUAAUCAGAUUUGUGAUAAUACAUGAGUGUUUGCCAAUUCCUAGUGAUUUGAAUUCAAUCUCAUUCAUCUGAUAAUGAGACCUAUCUCCAGCAAAAAGACUUCAAAAAUUUCUUAUCCAAACUAAGACUACCAGUUUACAGACUCCUUAAGAAACAUUAAAUAGCCAACAAGGUAAUGAAAGUCGCCUCAUUUUCAACAUCCAAUUUCGAAAAUUUCAAUAACAGUAAGUAGCCAACAAAUUCAAUAACAUUUAAGAAACCAUAAAUAAAUGUGCAAAAACUAAACUUAACCCAUUCAAAAAACCAACCUUGAAGUUUGGAAAGCAUAAUUGAUUGUUUUCAUCAAAAAAAUUUCAUCAAUUUUGUUGGGACCGAAUCUGCCACACAACUCACGGAUUGCUUUAACGAGCUCAUUCGAAUCUGGACAAAAUUGCAGGUAACCCAUGGUGGUACUGGAUGCGCCUGGUUGGGAGGAGUGGAAUGGUGGUGGUCCGCGCUCGAAAACGGUGGCCGACGGCAUUAGAAAUAUGGAGAAAAUCGUGACUAGUAGCGUGGUUUUGGGGUGAUUAGAGUUGUUUUGGACAACUUCGUGGUCAGGUGAUGACAAGAGGUUGAAGAGGAAAGUGAGGGAGUUCGAAUGGUUGUAAAAUCUAGUGUUCUAGGUGGUGGGUGGUGGUCGAUUGUUGAGGAAGAAGGUAGCGAGUCUUCAUUGGUUCUUUGCUCUUACGCACGGUAAUGGAAAAUGGUUUGUUUUGUGUGUUUUCAAUUUUCCCGUGAAAAUGUACAAAACGUCUUUUUUGACGUUUUGUGUUUUUAGUACAUUUUUUUUUCGAAGAGUCAUUUUCGAAAAUGGGAGGAGAACGCGUUUUCACUGUUUUGAAAAAUCGAAAACAGAAAACGACUUAAAAACAGCAAAGAGAAUAGCCCCUAAUGUUUUAUUGUAGACAGAGAAAUUAAUAUAUUCAUUCAAUUUAACGAAACAAAUUAAUGG
rnacentral:lncRNA from 1 species